GGGCCUUGUGAAUGCUGACAUUGUGAGAAUUCUGAAGACUUCCACAUGGCAUUUCUGAGCCAGAAAUGACAGUUGUGACAUAGGCAAGAGGAAUGAUCCCUUAACCUCUCCAUCCCUCCCUUCAUUUUCUAACCCAUUUGCUUCUUCUGAAUUACAUUGGUCUCUUCUCUCUUUUCCUUAGGCCUUCCUCUUCUGCCUGAUUUUCUCCAUCCAGUAUAUUUCUGACAGAAGAGGAAGACUCUGUGGUUGAACAAGUAAAUAAAAGGAUUCAGCUCAUCAUUGGGCUGUCAGAUGAAAUAGCAGAAUUUCUCCACGUAGGAGUUAUCUGGGGCAACAUGGGAGUUAGACAAUGACCCUUUGGAGCCUGAUGAGACAGGGAAUCAUGUGGCCACAUUCAUAAGUUAUGUAAGUAUUCUCAGUACUGGAUUGCCCUAUAGACACACCAAGCCUAGGCUAGAGGGGUUCCCACUGAAUCAAAUUAUUGAGGGUUUGAAUCCAGGAAUUUAUAUUUUAGAAACACUCCAGAAAAUUCUAGUGAUCAACCUGGUGUAGGAGCUACUAUCACUUAGUGAUUAGAAGUUGAGGGAGAAAGAGGGAAAGGAAAGAGUCACAGAAUCACCUGGAGGAUUUUUCAUACUAUACAGCACUUCUUUAUUCUAUUACUCCUUAGGUUGUCAAUUUCUCCAUUAAAGAGUAAAGAUCUAGAACUGUUUGUUUUGUUGAUGAGGUGUGUUUCCUCCUCUGGACUAAGACUAAUUUUUUAAUUCUUAAAAUAAUUAAUUUUUAAAAAGAUUUUAUUUAUUUAUUUAUUUUAGAGCACACAAGUGGUGAGAGGAGCAAAAAGGGAGGGAGAGGAAAGGGAAAGAAUCUCAAGGAGACUCUGCACUGAGCAUAGAACCCGACAUGGGAUUUGAUCUCACAACCCCAAGACCACAACCUGAGUCGAAACCACGAGUAGGAUGCUUAACUGACUGAGCCACCCAGGCACCCCAAUAAUUAUUUGAUUUUUGAGCUAAUUUUUAAAAUAAGCAAUGAGGAAGAAAAGCUUCAGGAUUCCUAGGUACUUACACCAGGCAUUUUUCUAAUGUCUGUCUUUCUCUACCCAAAAUUAUAUCAGAUAAUACUCAAAUACUUUUGCACUGCUUUUAAGAUUUUUUAAUUCCAAAGUUAUAGCAUAUUUAUGCCUCUCCUUUGGUAAGAGACAGUUCCAUAGAAUUUUGCCCUUAAGUGAUGAUUGCCUCAAAGAGGAAAAAUUUCUGACUCAUUCUUACACAUUGCUUUUGAAAAGAAAUGACUGGCAGUAUUGAAAUUCUAUCAUACUUCUUUAACCAAUUUGAGGUUGGUACAAUAUGAAGACCCUCUCUUCUCUUUUAAUAGUAGUAUGAUUGAUGAGCAGAAAAUCAACCAAAUAAACAAACAAACUUGAUUUGGACA
rnacentral:lncRNA from 1 species